rnacentral:rRNA from 1 species
UCCUACGGGAGGCAGCAGUGAGGAAUAUUGGUCAAUGGACGCAAGUCUGAACCAGCCAAGUAGCGUGCAGGAUGACGGCCCUCCGGGUUGUAAACUGCUUUUAGUUGGGAAUAAAAGGGGGCUCGUGAGCCCCGUAUUGUAUGUACCAUCAGAAAAAGCAUCGGCUAACUCCGUGCCAGCAGCCGCCGUAAUACGGAGGAUGCGGGCGUUAUCCGGAUUUAUUGGGUUUAAAGGGUGCGCAGGCGGAAGAUCAAGUCAGCGGUAAAAUUGAGAGGCUCAACCUCUUCGAGCCGUUGAAACUGGUU